rnacentral:rRNA from 1 species
UAACAGCUCAAAUUUGAAAUCUGGCCCCCUCGGGGCCCGAGUUGUAAUUUGUAGAAGAUGCUUUGGGUGUGGGCCCGGCCUAAGUUCCUUGGAACAGGACGUCGUAGAGGGUGAGAAUCCCGUAUGCGGCUGGUGCCCUCGCCCGUGUAAAGCUCUUUCGACGAGUCGAGUUGUUUGGGAAUGCAGCUCUAAAUGGGUGGUAAAUUUCAUCUAAAGCUAAAUAUUGGCCAGAGACCGAUAGCGCACAAGUAGAGUGAUCGAAAGAUGAAAAGCACUUUGGAAAGAGAGUUAAACAGUACGUGAAAUUGUUGAAAGGGAAGCGCUGGCAACCAGACUUGGGCGCUGCUGAUCCGCGGGGGUUCUCCCCCGGGCACUCGGCAGCGCGCAGGCCAGCAUCGGUUUGGGUGGCUGGAGAAAGGCUGGUGGAAUGUAGCUGCCCUCGGGCAGUGUUAUAGCCACCGGUGGCAUGCAGCCCACCCGGACCGAGGACCGCGCUUCGGCUAGGAUGCUGGCGUAAUGGUUGUCAGCGACCCG